rnacentral:tRNA from 1 species
UCUCCCUUAGUUUAUAUUAGGAGAAUUCUAACUUGUCGAGUUGGGGGAAAACUUGUUUAGGGGGAU